UACGUAGGGGGCUAGCGUUGUCCGGAUUUAUUGGGCGUAAAGGGCUCGUAGGCGGUUUGUCGCGUCGGGAGUGAAAACCUUGGGCUUAACUCAGGGCUUGCUUUCGAUACGGGCAGACUAGAGGUAUGCAGGGGAGAACGGAAUUCCUGGUGUAGCGGUGAAAUGCGCAGAUAUCAGGAGGAACACCGGUGGCGAAGGCAGUUCUCUGGGCCGUAACUGACGCUGAGGAGCGAAAGCGUGGGGAGCGAACAGG
rnacentral:rRNA from 1 species